CUACGGGCCGCAGCAGUGGGGAAUAUUGGGCAAUGGGCGCAAGCCUGACCCAGCAACGCCGCGUGAGGGAAGAAGGUUUUCGGAUUGUAAACCUCUGUCCUUGGGGACGAAGAAGUGACGGUACCCAAGGAGGAAGCUCCGGCUAACUACGUGCCAGCAGCCGCGGUAAUACGGUAGGGAGCAAGCGUUGUCCGGAAUUACUGGGCGUAAAGGGUGCGUAGGCGGCAUAUUAAGUCAGGUGUGAAAUACUCGGGCUCAACCCGGGGGCUGCAUUUGAAACUGAUAUGCUUGAGUGUGAGAGAGGAAAGUGGAAUUCCUAGUGUAGCGGUGGAAUGCGUAGAUAUUAGGAGGAACACCAGUGGCGAAGGCGACUUUCUGGCUCAUAACUGACGCUGAGGCACGAAAGCGUGGGGAGCAAACAGGAUUAGAUACCCCCGUAGUC
rnacentral:rRNA from 1 species